UGGCGAUAAAUCGUAGUGUCCUGACUUUC
rnacentral:piRNA from 1 species